rnacentral:misc_RNA from 1 species
GACGGAGGGGGCUAGCGUUGUUCGGAAUGACUGGGCGUAAAGCGCAUGUAGGUGGUUCGUUAAGUUAGGCGUGAAAGCCCUGGGCUCAACCCAGGAACUGCGCUUGAUACUGACGAACUUGAGUCCGGUAGGGGAAAGUGGAAUUCCUAGUGUAGAGGUGAAAUUCGUAGAUAUUAGGAGGAACACCAGAGGCGAAGGCGGCUUUCUGGACCGGCACUGACACUGAGAUGCGAAAGCGUGGGGAGCAAACAGG